UACGUAGGGUGCAAGCGUUUAAUCGGAAUUACUGGGCGUAAAGCGUGCGCAGGCGGUUUUGUAAGUCUGUCGUGAAAUCCCCGGGCUUAACCUGGGAAUGGCAUUGGUGACUGCACGGCUAGAGUGUGUCAGAGGGGGGGUAGAAUUCCACGUGUAGCAGUGAAAUGCGUAGAUAUGUGGAGGAACACCGAUGGCGAAGGCAGCCCCCCUGGGUCAAAAACUGACGCUCAUGCACGAAAAGCGUGGGGGAGCAAACAGG
rnacentral:rRNA from 1 species